UUGUAGACAUAGUUAGGGUAUAGC
rnacentral:piRNA from 1 species